CUGGCUUCUAUAUUUUAUGUUGGCUUUUCUUUCAUAGCUCCAGCCUGGAAGAAGGAAGCAAAAACAUCCUUCUCCUUUACAGGUUAUCUCCUUGCUGUCAUAAUUCUGGUAUUUAUAUGCAUGCAUGUUUUAUCUACAAAAGAUAUCCACAGGAGAGCUGAUCUUCCUGCAACUGUUACAGAACUAUUAAAUGUAUAUUAGCAUGGUCAUUUUUAUUUAAUGGAAACAAAUAACAGUUAAUCUUAUUGGAAGGGUUAAGUGGGUUUACUUGGGAAAGGGCAAAUCCCUUUGGAUGCUUUCUUUUUUAAAGAAUAGCUGCAGUGGCUGACAGAUGGUCUUUGUCUGAGUGUAGCUGAGGACAGAUACAGUUUCUUUUUACACAUUUAUGAAAGUUGUAGAUAUAGAUGGUUGGUAAUAUGCGGUGGCCUAGGACAAAGGGCACGCCCGGUGGACAGAGAGGAUUAGAUUUCAGAUCAGUGACAGAUGGCUGGCUUAGCAGAGUCAGAUAAAAUUAAAAGGGGUGGGGGGUGUGGAUAAAAAGAAACCACUUUCCAUGUAAAAGUUGUGUCUCUUAAGACAAUGGCAGCAUGCACCAUUCAGUUCUCUUUCCAACCUGGUGUCAAGUUCCUGGGAUUUAAAUUCCUACAUUUUACUUUUUGCCUUUGCAGAAGAGGUGGGAUUAUUCUUUGUUGAUCAAGUUUAUCAAAGGGAAACGAAGAAACCAAAUAAUUCACAAUUUGCCUUUCAGCUUGACCAGCAGAAAGUAUUCCAUUUGCACAACAACACUGGAUUUGUGUGUGUGGGUCAUUAGCCACAGUACUCCUCCUCGGUUUGGGCAGAUUUUUUUAGAAGCCUAUUGGUGACAGGGGAUUCUUCCUCCAGAAUUCCCACUAGAAGACUGAAGUGGAAUUUUCCAUCACCCCUGUGAGCGAUUACAUGUCCAGAAGCUGAGAAAGGACAAAAGCUAUUAACAUUUCCUAGCCUAAUAUUCUCCCUGGUGGCUCAGAUGGUAAAGAGUCUGCCUGCAAUGCAAGAGACCUGGGUUCAAUCCCUGGGUCAGGAAGAUCCCUGGAGAAUGAAAUAGCAGCCCACUUCAGCAUUCUUGCCUGGAGAAUUCCAUGGACAGAGGAGGCUGGUGGACUACAGUCCAUGGGGUCACAAAGAGUUGGACACUACUGAGCAACUUUCACUUUCAGCCUGAUACUCUGUUUUCAUAUCAUGAAGCCCACAGGUUUGAUCUUUUUGUUCGUUGUAACAGACUUUGUGUUGGUGUCAGACUUUCUAAGAUGGUGUCAUGGGCAGCCCCCAACCAAACACUACAGGACUGUACAGUUAGUAAGGCCAGAGUGGGAUUCACGUCUUGCCUGUUGAGUAGUUUUGCAUGGACAUCUCUGCAGGAAAGGACCUAUUUUUUGUCAUUUCCACGUAGAGGUAGGACUGGACAGCCAUGUUAUACAUUUAGUGAGCCUUCCCAGUGUGGUCUUUAUAAGAAAAGAAUGUCAAGAAGACCUCUUGAAAUAAAAACAAAAGAACAUUCCUCCAAGGGGGCUCAUUCCUGAUUCGGAAACAAACCAGGGAGAUCCUUAGGUCAGCUUAGAAAAGGACUUGAACAGAGUGACACUGGAGACCUGGUCUGUUCUCAAGCAAAGACAAAAGCCAUUGCCCUGAGUCCUGCCAAGGGCCUUUUCUUCUUUUUAUUCCUGCUCCUAUGCAGCCUGAGUCUUUAGAACUCCCUCCCUUAUUUCCUGGUGGAGUCCCAUAAGUGUGUAUUGAAUAUUGACUGAAUCUUCCCUGAAUUUCCUUGCCCUGGGGCAAUUAGAGUUGAAUUAUAUACACCCAAGCGAGGCUACAAAUAAAAAAUUACUUUUCGUUUAUCUCUGUGAGAAGAAACCAGAAAUGAGCAAAUAUGAGAUUAAUAUAAGUGAAAGAGGAUACGGUUUCUGCUUUAUGUGGUGAUAAGCCCCUUUUUUCCUUUUCAUACUAAUUAUUAUUAUCAUUAUUAGUAUUAUUUUACCCCUCAAUUGCCUUAGGAUGUUAUCCAAGAGGAAGCACUGUAUCGGCUGGUGAAAGCUCCACAGUAUUAUUUAUUUCAUGUAAUAAAAUGUAUGUAAUGAUCAUGAUUAAUGUUUGUUUAUUGUUGUAUCAUUGUGUUUUCCUUCCAGUCUCAGUGUGAUACUGGUUUAAUUAAACUUG
ensembl:lncRNA